UUUAAACUCUUGGUUUAACAGUGGUCAAAAAGUUUUUCAAAUUAUUUUUCCUGUUGAUGUGAGUCAGGGACGAAGAAUGACCAGACCCCCAAGUCUGAACCACUUUGUUCUCUCUCAAGAGAUAGAAUGAAGCCUGUGCUUGUGUGAGGGCAGAAGAGUUACUUUUUACAUACGAUGUGCCAGAGUUAUACACAGUAGUUCAUAUCUGGGAUAUUUCUUCUAUCCUGCUGUCUUGUCUUUGACAGCGUGGGACAUAUUAAUUAUUUGUUUUAGUAAGUGUUACUAUCAGAUAGAACAUGUCCCAAAUCGCUGCUCUUUUUGUUCAUCACUUUAUUUUUUGGAUGCACUCAUCCAUGGAUUUCUUUAUCUUUUCUUGGGUGUUUGAGGUUCGCUCAUCAUCUCCUCGGGGCACAGCAUCCCAUCACCUUUGGUAAAAGGCUCGUGUCUUAUAUUAAAUAACCAUUUUCCCUUCAUCUUCAUCUCACCCCACCUGAACACUUGCAUUCUGAUGUGUUUAAUAUAUAGCAUUGGAUUUGUAUAUAUCCUUGAAAAGUACAUAGUGCUGAUUUGAAUACUGUCUUUAAUUCAUUUAAUUGUUAUUGAGCUGUGACUCUCAUUGCUGCUUACGCACUUUCUGUCUCAACAGGUGACGAGAGACUCAGCACUUCAAGUUCUGCAGGUGGCCUAGCUGGAGACCCAGAAGAGCCUAAGGCAGGGUUUCAGUCCUGGUCUAAGCUGUAGACAGCAGACUUCUCAGCCUACGUAAUUGAGUGAGCGAGUUCCUUAUAAUCACUGCUCUUCUUAUAACCCCCAGAGGCAAACCACUGUUCUGAUAUUUCCCACCACGACAUAGAUUGGAUAUACCUACUCUGGUCAUUUUUAGAGUCUUACGCUGUGCACUUCUGUGGCGAUCCCAAUGGUGGCUGCUCUUCAGCUGAAGUUCACGAAGGAAGACACUGUGGAAAAAUAUGCUUUCGUAACCUGAGAGGCACGUGGAGCGUGAAUGAGAAAUCAUAGAUGCAGGCUGAUGUAACGGCUGUAUUUGAAAAACUCAUCCGAGGACCAGUCGUCUUAGUGCGCCGUCAUUCCACGUGGUUUCCCUCCAAGCCGUUUGUUCAAGAGGGAGAACCCACCAAUUCUGCAUUUUAGCUAGCAGGAAAAGGAAAAGGAAAACAGGAAGAAGUGAAAAAAAAUACAUAACUCGGAUGUGAUCGCAUCUGAGGAUUACUGAUGGAGAGUAGAAGGGAUAGAAUCACACGCUGGAAGUACAAGAAGGGGAAAAUGGAAUAUGGGAAAGGAAAGCUGGAGGCAAAGAUUUACCUCAGAAAGGAGAACAGUAGGAGACCACAAUAGUUGGUCAGACCAUCACCUACAAAUCAGAGGAAUGAACAAAAAAGAAAUCCGUGUCUGGACUUUCUAAAUAUGGAGGACUAAUUCUGGUUGUCCUAUUUAAAUAACUACAGUGCCAUUAAGAGCAAAAAGAAAAUCAGUAAAAACAUUUGCUCCUGAACUCUGAGUGACUUAAAUAAAGAUGACAUAUGAAUAAAGAAGGGGGGAAAAGGAUUCUUUAAAUAUCUAACAAGGCACAUAGAGCAUAGAGAGUUUUACAUAUGCUUUUACAACUUUGGACAUAGUUUAAAUGAUACAUUGGCCGCGAGGAAGCCAGACCAUCCAAACUUUGCUAAUAUCAGAAACAAAAGCACCAACAGAAAGAAGAAAUGACAAAAGAUCAGUGAAGGUACUGAGUCAGACACAGCAAUCUCCGGCAACAGAAAAAGUGAAAAAGGAAACAUUUAAAGUAAGACAACUGUGUGAUGCUGGGACUCACAGUGCAGUGACUUCUGUUGUAGCAAGUGUCUAUAUUGCUAUGAACAACCCAGACAAUGCCAGAAUGUUGUAGCAGUAAGGACCACAGACCCACAUUUCAGCUUAAGACCAUCAUUUACUGAAAUCUGCUUAUAGGAAAAUGUGAUUAGCUGGAAGUUUAGGAGGUUGGAAGUUUCUGGUGAGAUUUCUCUUCCUGACAUAGAUGGCUACCUUCUUACCGCAUGCUCACGUGGCCUUUCGUCUGUGCAAGCGUGGGAAAAAAGAGAGAGAUGUCAUCUCCGUUUUCUUACAAUAUUCUAGAUUGUAAGAAACCAACCAAAUUUGGAAGAAACCCAAACCAAAUUCAGACCCAAUGAUUUUUAUGUCACUUAAACAAGCCCGAGGGGACUUUUCUACAAUAUUCCAUGAGAGGCCCGGUACAACUCCUAGAGAUAAAUUUUAUCAUCAUAAAUUCCUUCAUGACUCCCUUAACUUGAAGGUGGUCUUGCCUCUGAUCUACUGGAGAAAGCAUGGAAUCCAGAAAACAAAACGUCUGACAACUGGGAAAUGGAUCAUCCUAGAGCACCACGUAUACCCCGUAUUUCUUCAUUCCUGCCAAGUAUAAACCAGCGCAAGGAGAGGCUCAGCAGUGACGUCAGAGACGUUACUGCCCAGACUCUCUUCUAGGAUUUUUAUGGUUUCAGGUCUCCCACUUAGGUCUUUAACCCAUUGUGAGUCUAUUUUUGUGGAUGAUGUGGGACUUUUGUGCAGUAUCAUUCUUUUGCAUGCAGCUGUCCAGUUUUCCAAUACUAUUUGAAGAGACUAUCUUUUCCCCAUUAGCAUGCUGUUGUUGGAAAUAGAUUUUCUGUCCUCUUGCUUUCCAGUUAUUUGGAGAGAAUUAAAAACUCUACUAACGAGAUAUUGUAACUACUUCCGCUAAUUCUUCAGUUAGGUUAUGACGUAGGGUCUUAUUUGGAAGUUUUAAUUCCACUUCAGAAAAUGUUUUGGGAAAAACCAAUUCAUUGUCCGUGGAUUCCACUCACGAAUUCAGCUUAAUUGAAGAUAAUGUUUUGAAUUUGGCUUAUACUGGUAUGCUGGUCAAGGUAAAAUAUUAAUGAAAAUUUUAAUAUUUCUUCUUAAGUGUCCUCUGUUGGAGGUCUCAUUCCUCCUUGGUGUCGCUGCCACACUCCGAGGCCAGCAUUCUGGAGAUACAUAAUGCAGCCACCCCAUGCCUCCUUCCCUGAGGUAUCUGGCAGUUGGUCAUUCCUAACCCCUCCCAACUUGAGGGACACUCUGAACGGAUCUGGGAUGAUGUAAAUAUUUAUCACAUUGUUUCAUCAAGACUAUCUGCCUCUUGGAAAACCUCACUAAAAAGUGAGCUCCAUUAAGAAGCCUUGUAAUUUUCAUCUUUAAGUUCUCUGUGACAAGCAUAAAACUGGACAGAACUUUCUGGAUUUUAAUAUUUUUGUUUUUCCUUCAAGAGGGUUCAAGGAGGACCCACCAAGUUUUAUUAAUUUCGUUAUGUAUGAAGUAUAAAAGGGUAUCAGAAAUAAGUUUAUUAAACAUGUUGAGACUUCAAAUCUACUUAAGCUUGAAAAAGAAAUUUAAGUCAGUGUUUUCUAAGUAUUGAUCAGUUUUUAAACUCUUAAACUCAUAUAGCUCUUAGCAGCAUCUUAAAUUCUGAAAUUUGCAAAAAACCCUUGUUAGGCACAAAGUAUUUAAAGGGAUUAAAAAAUUGACUUUCUGCCAUUAAAGGCAACUUGGUAAAUGUUAGUUUUUUACUUUCUCCUUUUAUUAACCUUUUUGUUAGAUAUUAGGACAGAAACCUUGUUUUCUUAGUCCCAAAUUAGUAUCAAACUGAUCAUCCAGACAUCAACAAGUGAUGAUUUUUUCCAAAUAGACUCUUUGCUAAGAUCUUUUUUUUAAAUUGCUAGCUUAAAUGAAGAUCAACUAUUAUUCCUGCAGUAGGUGAUAGGUCUCAGGAGAGUUUAAUUUCAACAGGAAAUAUUAUAAUUUAUCAAAAACCUCUCAUAUUCCUGAAAACAUUUAUAUUAACACCUUUCUAUUCCACUUCAUCUCCAUCCCAGAGUAGAAGCUGAAACAGAAAUUUUUUAUCUGGUAAAAUCUAGCUGUUUGUAGAGGGCUAUUUUAUUUAAAGCAAUUUAAGUUUGCAUAAAGAAAAUUGGAAUGAAAAUUCCAGUUAUGACUCUUUUUCACCUUCAAAAUGUAAUUGUAUUGGUAGUUCUUUGGUUUCGCUGGGUUUUGUUUCUUUGGUCCUCAAUUUGUUUUCUGUUGGUAACAUUUUCCUUUCCCUUUUUCUAACUUUUUUUUUUUUUUUUUGUAAUUACACUACAAACCGAUUCUGAUGGGAGUUUUGGCAGAGAAGUCUAAAUUGCAUUGUUGUGUCAGGCCAUAAACAUUUUUUCUGGGAUUCCGCAAGAAUAUGGCUUGACCUUGUUAGAACAAUGUCCAAAAGAAAAUAAUGUCAGAUUAUGAGAAGUUGAAAAAGGCAAUGAAAACAUGGCAUAGUUAAAGAGCUAAUGUGGACCGUGCUACCAGGUAAGUAUUUGAAGUUCACGUGGUGUUUAUCAUUUUGCACUAACUUCGUAUGCAGCAACUGUAACGGGGCCAUUUAGUGCCAUCAUGACAUUUCUGCUUAUCCAGAUGUCAUAUAAAUUCAAUUAAUUUCAACAGUAUCUAGGUCUUCAAAGACCAUAUGCUAUCUCUAGGGAAUGUUUGUGCAGUCUACUUGCCAGAUGUGAAACCAGAGCUAGCAACCAGCAAUUUUCUGACUUACAGUUACAGCAUUUAUGGUCUGAUACCACCAUCCACGUGAAGGAAGAAUGCAGAUCAACUUCACUCAAUCUGUGGUGUAAGGAUGGCAUCCAUCUUCUCCUGCCUUCAGGC